GCCAGCAGCCGCGGUAAUACGAAGGGGGCUAGCGUUGCUCGGAAUUACUGGGCGUAAAGGGAGCGUAGGCGGACAUUUAAGUCAGGGGUGAAAUCCCGGGGCUCAACCUCGGAAUUGCCUUUGAUACUGGGUGUCUUGAGUAUGAGAGAGGUGUGUGGAACUCCGAGUGUAGAGGUGAAAUUCGUAGAUAUUCGGAAGAACACCAGUGGCGAAGGCGACACACUGGCUCAUUACUGACGCUGAGGCUCGAAAGCGUGGGGAGCAAACAGGAUUAGAUACCCUGGUAGUCCACGCCGUAAACGAUGAUUGCUAGUUGUCGGGAUGCAUGCAUUUCGGUGACGCAGCUAACGCAUUAAGCAAUCCGCCUGGGGAGUACGGUCGCAAGAUUAAAACUCAAAGGAAUUGACCGGGGGCCCGCACAAGC
rnacentral:rRNA from 1 species